AGGCAGAGGAAGAAGAGGAAGAGAAGGCAGAGAGAGGAGUCUACAGUGCUUUAAGGAAUGUGCCGCUUUGGCGGACAACUUGAAUUAUCUGUCUGCCAAAUUCAUGCCAGUACAAGCCAUCGGCCAAGCCUGCGCAAGGGAGGAUGGCGAUGGGGUCCAUGGAGCCAUCGCCAAGGCUGAAAACUGCAGGAAGACCCUGGCAGAACUGCUGAGCGCCAUGGAGGGCAAUUGGAAAUCGUAUAGUCUCGCCACACAUGGGCUGGGCCCAAAAAUUCUACAGGGCACUUUUGCCCUGGUGGAUGCGUGCCUUCUGCACAAAAUUACAGCCAUCAAGGGCGAGAUGUAAAUGUAAUGUAAAUAUGU